CGGGAGAGGGGAGAGGGGCAGUGUCGGCUGGACCCUGCGCCUGAGCCUGCGGCCGAGCAGGGAGCCCGGGAGCCCAGGAAGCGCAUCGGGCAGAGAACCGCUGGUCCUGGGGACACAGUGACGGCAACACCAGCACACACGGAGGCCCCCACCCCGGAGGCUGGAGAGAGGGAGCAGGUGCUGAAUGUGGGCAGCAGGCAGCCUGCUGCGGACUGGGGGAAGAAAUACCGCGCAGAAGGCAGAGCCGAGUUCAGUGGUGACAGGAAAGAAGGGGAGAACUGGUGUUGACUCCAGCUAACUCACUGAAGUUCCGUGGAAGCCAUCCUGGUCGCAGCAGAGGUUGGGGUCAAAGUGUCCUGGAUCAGGACUCAUCUGCACACUCGGUAGUUCGCUGAUCUCACACUAGCCAAGUAUUUUCCUGCCUGGAAAUGGACAGCACUCUUGAUCUGAGGAGAGAAGGUGGGGAGCCCCUGCCCAGGCCUCGCACAAAGGCUGCUACAUCUUCUCUGUUUCCAUGGGGGCCCAGAGCCUCGCUGGCCACACACCCCUGGAGCUGACAUCUUGAGCUACACAGAGUCAACAGGAUCGCCUUGAAUCACUUCCCCACCUCACUCUGUACACCGAAGUAGAUGCCUGAAUCAGAGAAGACGCAUUUCUAAUGCAAACCAGAGGAGCGCUCAAGGGGGACCGUGGCUGAGUUUUAAGUCUUCUCCGUGGAGACAAAGUUCGUCAUGACGUGGCACAGCCUCAGUGCUGCCAGAGGAAAGCAGGCAAGUUGGAAUCUGCAAUCGCUGAUAACGUCUAUUCAUUUAAAAACAGGUGAAGAGGGCCCAGGGAUUUAGCUCAGUGGUUUUGUUGCCUGCUGCACAAGCGCAAGGACCUGAGUUCAAUCCCCAGUACCAAAAAAAAGAAAAUAAAUAAAUAAAAACAGGUGAAAAGAAAAUGUGGCCUAUCAACAAGUGAAAGACUAAUGACAAAUCAAAGAUUUUAUACAUUAAUCCUUAAAACUACUAAAAAAAUCAACAGAAAUGGACAAUAGUUAAGAGCAUAGUUUCAAUAAAUAAAUAAUAAAUGUUUAUGGCAAAUAGGCCAUAAGCGUGUAUACAAGG
rnacentral:lncRNA from 1 species